AUCUCAUCCUUACCACGUUACACACAGACACCCCCACACACACACACACAUAAUGCUAUCCAGAUACAUCCCACCUCCACGAUAUCUCAUCCCCUGCCUGCUUUGCCUCACGCUUUCUUUGAUUUCAAGAGCUGAACUAUUCUGCAACAUUUGUUGAUGUGGUUCUGCUAGUAAAUGCUGCAAAAUUGUGCUUCUCUUGGAAUCGCUGCUCUUCGCCGCCACGAGAAGUCCACGAGAGAUCCAUCGCCCACCGAGCUGAGAGCACAAAGAUACACACACUCACACUUACACACGCACACAAAUACACACACACACACAUCUGUUCUGGGCUAUGCCUGAGCUCGCAUGGUGCUCUGCUCCUCUCUUCUCCUGGACAGUUUUGGUCCAGUGGG
rnacentral:miRNA from 1 species